CGAAUGCUGACGUGAGUAACGACAAAACGGGUGAAAAACCCGUUCGCCGAAAGACCAAGGGUUCCAGUCCAACGUUAAUCGGGGCUGGGUGAGUCGACCCCUAAGGCGAGGCCGAAAGGCGUAGUCGAUGGGAAAAUGGUUAAUAUUCCAUUACUUCUGUGUAAUGCGAUGAGAGGACGGAGAAGGCUAAAUCAGCCUGGCGUUGGUUGUCCAGGUGAAAGGAUGUAGGCAUGUAUCUUAGGCAAAUCCGGGGUACUCUAUGCUGAGAUCUGAUAGCAAGCUGUACUUGUACAGCGAAGUGGUUGAUGCCAUGCUUCCAGGAAAAGUCUCUAAGCUUCAGUUACACAGGAAUCGUACCCGAAACCGACACAGGUGGUCAGGUCGAGUAGACCAAGGCGCUUGAGAGAACUCUGCUGAAGGAACUAGGCAAAAUGGUACCGUAACUUCGGGAGAAGGUACGCUGUUGUUGGUGAUGGAACUCGCUUCCUGAGCUGACGACAGCCGCAGAAACCAGGCCGCUGCAACUGUUUAUUAAAAACAUAGCACUCUGCAAACACGAAAGUGGAC
rnacentral:rRNA from 1 species